rnacentral:rRNA from 1 species
UACGAAGGGAGCUAGCGUUGUUCGGAAUCACUGGGCGUAAAGCGCACGUAGGCGGAUGUGUCAGUCAGGGGUGAAAUCCCGGAGCUCAACUUCGGAACUGCCUUUGAUACAGCACGUCUUGAGUCCGAUAGAGGUGGGUGGAAUUCCUAGUGUAGAGGUGAAAUUCGUAGAUAUUGGGAAGAACACCGGUGGCGAAGGCGGCGACCUGGUCCGAUACUGACGCUGAGGCGCGAAAGCGUGGGGAGCAAACAGG